AUGGGUGAGAAGUCUUAGACAACAAGUCUGUGUCUGUGAGGCGUCAGGUAUCUGUGAAGGGGUGUGUACUGCAGUGAAAGUUGCUUUAAUCAUCCAGCACCAGAGGUUCCUUGUGUUUGGCUCACAUACAGUACGUCCAAGGAAUGGAGACAGACUGAGGAAAUCUCCAGACCAAGAUCAGGUCCAUGAGCAGCCUCCUAACAAG